CCCCUUCUCCCCCUGCGGCCCCUGCGGUCCCCGCCACCGGAUGCAAUAGAAAAGGAAACCACAAAGCAUGAUGGCAACAAUGACUAAACCAACAAUAACCCACGUUGGGGUGUUAUUGUCAUUGGAUGAUACAGAAUUCGGAUCGAUCCAUGCCGAUGGAGGUGGAAAGUACUGGAAACUCGGAUAAGUUUGUGGAUAGUUAUUGUUCUCCAUCAAGAAAACUCUGUGGAAUUAGUUCAAUGUGAGCAUUGAGUCUACAAACAUAUUAUGAAGCAUCCAUCCAUGAGACAGUUUACCUUUUUAUCAUGAUGAAUUGAUUGUAUGAUCUGAGUGCGAGAUCAAAAUGAUUCAACACAUAAUUCAGCGAGAUAUAAUACAAGUGGAAGUAGGUGCUUGCACAUAUACCUUCACAAGAAGAACCGAGCAAAUUGGUGAAUAAUGUUGCGCCAAUGCUAACGCAACCUGCAAAGAAGUGAGAAUUUUCGCCUGGUGGAGAACAGCCUUAUAUAUGCCCCACGAUGCUUCCUCCCUCCUUCCCUCCCUCACGUGGUGGGUUUUUUUUUUUUGACUGAAAGAUAAUAAUUUUCAAAACUAACCAACUAACG
rnacentral:lncRNA from 1 species